rnacentral:rRNA from 1 species
CCUACGGGAGGCUGCAGUGAGGAAUAUUGGUCAAUGGGCGCGAGCCUGAACCAGCCAAGUCGCGUGAGGGAUGACUGCCCUACGGGUUGUAAACUUCUUUUGUAAGGGAGUAAAGUGAGGCACGUGUGCCUUGUGGUAUGUACUUUAUAGAUAAGGAUCGGCUAACUCCGGGCCAGCAGCCGCGGUAAUACGGAGGAUCCGGGCGUUAUCCGGAUUUAUUGGGUUUAAAGGGAGCGGAAAGGGGUUUUUAAGUUAGGUGGGAAAGUGUGCGGGUCAACCGUAAAAUUGCAAUUGAUACUGGCAGUCUUGAGUACAGGUGAGGUAGGCGGAAUGCGUGGUGUAGCGGUGAAAUGCUUAGAUAUCACGAAGAACUCCGAUUGCGAAGGCAGCUUACUAAAGUGCCACUGACAUUGAGGCUCGAAAGUGUGGGUAUCAAACAGGAUUAGAUACCCGUGUAGUC